rnacentral:rRNA from 1 species
CGUGUAGAUGGCUUUUUAAGUCAGCUGUGAAAUCUCCUGGCUCAACCGGGAGAGGUCAGUUGAUACUGAGGAGCUUGAGGGCAGCAGAGGAAGAUGGAAUUCCCGGUGUAGUGGUGAAAUGCGUAGAUAUCGGGAGGAACACCAGUGGCGAAGGCGGUCUUCUGGGCUGUUUCUGACAUUGAGGCGCGAAAGCGUGGGGAGUGAAGCGGAUCAGAUACCCGCGUAAUCCACGCUAUAAACGGUGGAUACUAGGUAUGGGGGGUAGUCGACCCUCUCCGUGCCGCAGCUAACGUUUUAAGUAUCCCGCCUGGGGACUACGGCCGCAAGGUUAAA